rnacentral:rRNA from 1 species
CUACGUGCCAGCAGCCGCGGUAAUACGGAAGGUCCAGGCGUUAUCCGGAUUUAUUGGGUUUAAAGGGAGCGUAGGCGGAUUAUUAAGUCAGUGGUGAAAGACGGUGGCUCAACCAUCGUUAGCCAUUGAAACUGGUAGUCUUGAGUGCAGACAGGGAUGCUGGAACUCGUGGUGUAGCGGUGAAAUGCUUAGAUAUCACGAUGAACUCCGAUCGCGAAGGCAGGUGUCCGGGCUGCAACUGACGCUGAGGCUCGAAAGUGUGGGUAUCAAACAGGAUUAGAUACCCUGGUAGUCCACACAGUAAACGAUGUAUACUCGCGGUUUGCGAUAUAUUGUAAGCCGCCAAGCGAAAGCAUUAAGUAUACCACCUGGGGAGUACGCCGGCAACGGUGAAACUCAAAGGAAUUGACGGGGGCCCGCACAAGCGGAGGAACAUGUGGUUUAAUUCGAUGAUACGCGAGGAACCUUACCCGGGCUUGAAC